rfam:Actinomyces johnsonii F0510 genomic scaffold Scaffold530, whole genome shotgun sequence.
CGGUGGCGACCUGGGUGGGGGAGAUGAAGUGAAUGUGAGAAUCGAUGCCCCCGGCCGUCAGGAUGCGGUGCUCCCCGGCGAUCACCUCCGUGGAUGUGCCGAUGACGAUAUCGAUGUCGUCCAUGAUGUCCGGGUUGCCCGCGGCGCCGAUGGCGCUGAUGACGCCGUCGCGGAUGGCGACGUCGGCCUUGUAGACGCCGGUGUGGUCGAUGAUGAUCGCAUUGGUGAUGACGGUGUCGGGAAUGCCCUCGUCUCGCGUGCGCUGGCCAUUGUGGCCCAUGCCGUCGCGGAUG